CAGGCCUAACACAUGCAAGUCGAACGAUGAUCAGGACCCUGCUCCAAUGUUUAGUGGCGAACGGGUGAGUAACACGUGAGUAACCUGCCCCUGACUCUGGGAUAAGCGUUGGAAACGACGUCUAAUACUGGAUAUGAUCACUGGCCGCAUGGUCUGGUGGUGGAAAGAUUUUUUGGUUGGGGAUGGACUCGCGGCCUAUCAGCUUGUUGGUGAGGUAAUGGCUCACCAAGGCGACGACGGGUAGCCGGCCUGAGAGGGUGACCGGCCACACUGGGACUGAGACACGGCCCAGACUCCUACGGGAGGCAGCAGUGGGGAAUAUUGCACAAUGGGCGAAAGCCUGAUGCAGCAACGCCGCGUGAGGGAUGACGGCCUUCGGGUUGUAAACCUCUUUUAGUAGGGAAGAAGCGAAAGUGACGGUACCUGCAGAAAAAGCACCGGCUAACUACGUGCCAGCAGCCGCGGUAAU
rnacentral:rRNA from 1 species